AAAGGGUUCUAGAUCUUCAUCGGUUGAUCUCGUGUGCAGCAGUUGGUUGAGUCUGGUGGUCACAAACGUUGGAGCUGCAGUUUCUUUUCGCUCCUCACUUCGCUGCCACCACUCAGGCCCUGCUGCCCCAGGUUCGCGUCUGUGUCCACAGCGCCCGAGAACCUGCGUGGGUGGCCCUGGAGGGGUACUGAACCGCCAAGGCCAGUCAGGGAGGCUGCACCAAGCCAGAUUGACGGAGAAAGAAGAGGAUGGAGACUGUUCCUGCCACGGAGGGUGCCAGGCCCUUCAGAGGAGGUGGACUUUGAACCUGACAUCCAAGUGAAUGCAGGGCUGCAGCAAGUGAGGGGAGAAGGUGACCUGCCUCCAAGAGCCCCGAGCACCCAGGAUCCAGGUAGGAGCUUGGGGCUCAUGAGACAGAGAAAGGUGUUAUGGAGAGGGCUCAAGUUCCCUCUGCUCUCCACCCAGCUUCAGUUUGGAUGCCUUGCUCCUGAAACAGAAGGAUUCAGUGGGACAGUAUAGAAGAUCCAGCAUCCAGAAUGAGAGCUAGCAAGGAAAACAGAAUGCAAGCUUUACAAGACAAGUGGGGCUAGCAGAAUGGGCUCUCGUGUCUCCUGACCCUGUCAUCCCUGCCCUGUGCCUCCCUUAGCAGGAGAACACCCAGAGCAGGAGCAGGCUUCUCCUGAAAAACCCAUUUACCAUGUACUCAGUCUAGACAGAUAGAUGGGAAGAUGCAAGAAAGUGCACGGGACUAUGAGCACCUCCAAAGCUGGACAGUUUACGAGAGGUGGCUCAUCCUUCAUAAGCUCUCCUAGCCAGGAAGCCCGUGAAGAGAACUGAGCUGCACCAGCUCAUCAACUGAAAGGACCUGCUCUUGUAUAGGCCCUGAUUCGUGGACUAUGGCCAGCUUUGCAUCCUGAUUUUGAAGUGGAGUGAAGCACUACCACCACCACUGUCUUGACCAACAGUCAACCGUCACCACCAUCUCCUGAUCCUGUUUCAGGGUCAUGAGCAGGCACAGAUACUACUGCAUUCUGAUACCCUAUAUUAGACUCUUCUUUGCCAGUUCAUUGAGGAGCUAGGCUCCUGCCUGAUGCAAAGUCUGUGAACUACGCUGCCUAAGGAAAGGGUCUCGGAAGCUGCUGUAUUGUUAGUGCCAUUCAGACUCCAUCUGUGCUCUGUAAGCACGAAGGGUCCAUGCAUAGUAUGAAGCAUGAGCAAGCAUAUGGCAUCACACUGUGAUAGUGCCAACUGUCCCAUCACAGAGGAUGAGGGCUCACUGAGCUUUGUGUCAGUGGAUCAGGCACCACUUACAAACAUACCUGUACCAGCAUUCAGACAUAGAAAUGAAUGUAUAUGUGUGUUUGCGGUCACACACACACACACACACACACACACACACACACACGAACACAGAGUGCAACAGUGCAUGGCCAGUCCAGUCAUUUUCAGUCAUCUACAGAGAAGCCCUCAUGUCUGCUCCCUGUCUUUCUAUGAUCAACAAUUUGUGAAUAGAUCAGUCACCAUGAAGGACACAUGAAGUGGGGGAACUAAAAGGAUAUCCAUUAAGUUUUUGUUUUCCACUUAGUAUUUUAUAGUUAUAUAUGAGUAUCCAAACCGUUAUAUAAAACUAAAACUAAAGUACAAAGAUCCUAUUUUAUUUUAAAAAUAAUUGAGUAUUUCUAAAGCAUAUAUAUAUAUAUAUAUAUAUAUAUAUAUAUAUAUAUAUCAGACUUAAAAAUGAACAGAAAUCACCAGGAAAAAAGUAGAAUAUUGUGAUAGUUGAUUGUAACUAGCAUAAACCAUUUCAUGUGUUUUUCUGAGAAAAAAAAAUUUUAGAAACACUUUAUUCCCAACAGUGGGCUAUCUAUCCAUGCUGGGGCCGUCUUCCAACCCACCGAGGGCCUGGAGGAGUUUUAUUGUAUGUGGGAAACACUGCCUGUCUUUGCCUUCAUGUCUGCUUAAGCUGAGGCUCCAGUCAUUUCUGUUAAUUUGCAGAGGGUGCCUUGCGCUGACACGGUCCCUGCUGUUGCAUUUGCUCCACAGAGGUAUAGCAUUCUCCAUAAUGACUGUUUGCCUGUCUUUAACCAAGACUACAGAACCUUGCCCUUUGAGCAUUUUGAACCCAUUUUCCCGUCAUCCAUCUAUCCAACCUAAACAGGGUCAAAGUCAAUGAUAACUCUGUUCAGGUAUAAUUCUACCCCUGGAUUAGGAUGCAUGGCCAUGAGGUAACCUUUCUUAGCAGAGUCAAACCAAAUGCAGCGAAGACAUGCAAUGUAACAAGUAUCAGAUUGAGUCAGUGUCACAGGAGCCCUUCACUACAAUGCUCCUAGACAAGAAUGAUGGAUUAUUGAAGGUUGAAAAUAUAACUAACUCAUGAGAAAUAUUAUUUUUGAAUGAUGAAAUGUUAACUAGUGAUUUUCCUUUCCUCUCUUUCUUCUCCUUAUCUUUCUCCUUUUUUCCUCUUUCCUCCCCCUCCUCCCCCUCCCCCUCCUCCUCCCCCAUGUCCCCUGCCUAGUCUGUCUGUAUCUGUGUACAGGUGCAUGCGUUCACAUGUGUUUAAAGACACGUGCAUGUGCUUGGUCUUUGUGAGUAGGACAGAGGUCAGCAUCAAGUCUCUUGCUCUGUCACUCUUUACCUUACUUUUGAGACAGUCUCUACUUGACGCUAGAGCCUGGCAAUGAGUCUCCAUCUUCUGCACAGGGAGUUCCAAGGUCUGUCGGCUUCCAUCUCCCAGAGGUGGGACGAGAGGCACACACUGCCCUGCCAGGCUUUUCUGUGGUUGCUGGGGGUCUAACUCAGGUAGGUCCUCCUGCUUUUCUUACAAGAAUGCUGACUAUGGAGCUGUCACCCUGUGACAAGAGGAGCAUGUUUGGAUGGUGAAACUCUCAUUAGAUUUCUCGUGAGCCUAACACGGGCCACAGAGAGCAGACUGUUCACACCCUGACUGGUCAAUCUCCUGGUGCAAUUAUAAGAAGCAGGAGAGGCUGGUGGCAGAGGAUGGCCUCUGUGGAGUUCACAGGACUCAUGAGAGCCUGGGCACAGUGAACAGCCUGGGGGACCAGGGAAACUGGCAGGGAAAGUUUUCUCUUGACUUGUGCUGAGGUGAGAAGUAUGGAAUUGAAGACUGAAAGGGAGUGGGUAAGCAGAGGCCCCAAGGCAUCUGGGACUUGUUGGCCUGGAGGUACUGAAGAGAAGGGGUCUGGCUGAUUGGGAUGCUCUUCCUAAUGGCUCCCAUGAGCUAGUCCUACAAGGGGUGAGUCACUUCAUAUUGCCUCAGCCUUUCUAGUGAGGAGGGAUGUUCCAUUUCUCUGCUUCUGUGGCAUUCAGCCCGAUUCCUUCCAUCCCACGUCCAGGCUAAGGGGUCAGUCAGGCUGUGAGACGCUUUCGGGGCUUAAAAGUCUUUCUCAACCCAAGCAGCUCAGAGACAGAGUACUCCCUACCAAUGUGAAAUACGUGUCUCAGUUUGGAAUACUGAGUCUGGGAGUCAUGGGCUGGGUGUCAUUAACAAUGAAUUUCCCACCUGUUUGAGCCAGUUGCCACAGGGGCUGUGACAUUGAAUGGUUUACUGGCUUUCACUGUGGUCAGAAUUCGUUUGUUGCCUGUGGACUGGACUGGACACUUGGUAGCGUUGUGUGUUUUAUCUUUUGAGGAGAAUAAUGGGGGUAUGCUUGUUCGUUCUUUUUCUGAAACAUAGUUUCACUCUCUAGUCCAGGCUCACUGACUGAGGCAGUCCUGCCUGAGCUAGUUAAACUUGGGUUUUGGGAACCAAAUUCAGGUUCUCUACAAGAGUAGCGCCCCCAAAAUAAAGGCUCUUUGGAGAAGAAAACCAAACUCUAGAACCCUGGAGGCUUCUCACAGAACCCUGCGCUAGUCAUGAAGGGACAAGUCUGAAGCUCUUCAGUGAUUUUUUCUGGAGCAUCUUCAUAGGAUUAGAGGUUUUGGUAAAAUUUCCCUUCUGGGAAAAUGCAAACAGAGUCCAAGGCAGGGAGUACAGGGCCAUAUGCAACGUUCAGUGCCCAUUAUGAUGCUUCCUUCCCCAAGGGAACACUCUCCUAAGACCCAAGAUAGUCUGGGGUAAGAAGGUGAAGAUUUAAUCAGGAACUGGUGUUGGAGGAGAAACCCCCUUUGUCACACAGCAGGCGACUGACCUCUAGGCCCCUGAAGGGCUGGCUGUCUUACUAGACUCUCAGGAAAACACACAAGUGUGGAGUUCUUCGAAAAGAUGAGGCGUAUAAUGACACUCGUCAUGCACUGCCAGUAUGGGUUGGGAAUUCAGGCUUCUAUAUCUAGGUGGCCUAAUCUAUAAAUAUAAAAUACAGCCGAGCAGUUGUAAGAAAGGAAAACCAUUCCAGACAAAUGGGUGACUGUUGCAGUUUCCUCUCCAACCCGAAUCGGCCCGUACAAAGAAAACGCAACUCAAUUAAUAUGAAAACAACUUAGCGUCUAGAUUGGGCAGAUCCACCCUACACUGUCCUAUUCCUAGCUCCCAAAUCCCUCAUCCCUUGCACCUUUUAUUUGCCAGGUCUCCAGCUUCUCCUUCUCCCACGACGACUCUCUCCUCGCUUCUUUCCUUUUUCCUCCCCUGACUCCUCUAACUUUUCUCCCAACUCAUCCUCUCUCAGUUCCCCAACGUGUGCUUAAACAGUCCCUUUCCCACUUUUUCCAUUACUAACAGCUGCAAACUAUAACAACUGUUCAAUGCUUUCCCCUAUGCUCAGGUUCUACUGGCUCAACUGUUGCCAAAUGUCUGCUCUAACCCUAUUCUCUGAAUCUAAUCCCCGUCUCAGGAACCUCUCCUGAGUUUUUCUAUCUUCCCCUCUCCCUCCUGACUCCUCCCUCUGCCCAAAUCUCGUGCUCUUGCCUUUAUUUUACAAAUUCAGAGAGAACUCCAAGGCAAACCACAACAGGUGACCAGACACAAAGUCCCCUGUUCCCCAGGACAGAGGCUGCAGCCUCUGCAGAGAAGAGCAUGUUCAUUCCCACUGGUGGUCAGAGAAUAAAGAGAGACAAGCACAAAGCCUGUCUCCUUCCUUUGUGACCUCUCCUGGGGAGAGACACCAAGCAGGGCCUCUCCCUCCAGGGCUGGGCUCAGCCUGGCUGGACCAGCUCUUUUUCCUGGCAGCAGGCUUUGGGAUCAGGUGGUCAGAAAAGGCUCCCUACCAACAUGUCACACUAGAGCCUCUGUCCUCCCACUUCCCACCUCCUUUAUGCUUGUCCAGGUGAGACAGAGCAAAGAAAGUUUCAAUGCUGAACCCAUCAAAUAGAGCCAGCAGAACUGAGACCCGGGAGGAAGGCUGGUGGGUCUCUGGAGCUGACACUGAACUCCUAAGCCCAGCCUGGGGCCACAGAGGACAUCACGGCUAGGGCCAAAGACCUGGAUCAGGAAUGACCCAGUUCCCUGACCUAACUUGUUCAUCCCUCAAGAAGAAGCUCCUCCAUUUCUCUGAUAAGGCCCCUGGCGUUUCCUCCAUCAUAAGCAGGAAUUCUGUGGGCUGCGGUGGACUGGGAUGAGCCUGCUACCCAGAGGUUGAUAGUGACCACGCUGGUUUCCAACAGCAAGACAGAAAGCAGCAGUGCAAGAGUGUGCAGGGUCCAGGAACCUCUUCCUCACCUGAGCCUCUGCUCUCCAAUAGCAAACCAAAGAAGGCCUGCUGGACAGAAAUGCAAGUUCUGUAGUUUUUGCACUAAAUGGUUCCUGACAUGCCUUUUCUGUAGGGAAGUAUGGACGUGGCGAUGCCUUAACAAGGCCAACCAAAGUCCUCCAGGGCACCUCUCUGCAUUCCGGAGAGUCACUCUCACUUCAAGACCAGCACCUGGUGCUUGAUUCCCCUGACGCGUUCCUGUGAAGGCCACAGAACCCACUACCCUUCCCAGCCCUGUCUUUAUUAAUCUGCAGCAGAACCAAAGGUCUGCCCAGGUAGAUUCCCACACAUUCAAGCCUUCCCAGCCUACAGUGAAGCUGCGUCUUGCUUCCAGCCCUGUUCCCAUGUGGGGCCACAUGGGACUUACCAGGUAGUCAAGGUUCUGGAAUGUGAUGUGACAGAGUAGCUGGCUGGUGACAGCACAUCCUUCAUGCCACACUGCUGGGGUGGUGUUUCAGCCACUCCAUUCAGUGUGGGGUCACUGCUUCAUAAAGGCCCAGUCACAGAGAGUCAAAAUAAAAGCCUGCAACCAAGCACACAGCAGACCAGCUAGGUCCUCCCUAGUCACACCUCUGUGGUCCCUCAAGUCUUACAUUGCCUUUCAGCAAAGCAAAUCAAUGACCCUUUGUUCAGGCUGCCAUAUGCUACCUCACAUUUUCUGUGUCUUAACUUGGGUCAGUGUUGCAUCAAGACCAGGCUUCAGAAACUCAUCUUCUACCACAAGCAGAUAACUUAGUGGGCUCCAGCUUAGCUUAGAUGCAUGAUUCACACAGAUUAGGCUUCUAGAUUCCCUGGCAGCUGAGUAGCCCCUGCUGAUGUAGGGAGCUUUCCCCUACCUAAAAGGUGCUCAGAACACUGUUUACACAUUACCCAGCAGAGAUCGGGACCCUAAGGUCACAGAGGAGUCCCUUGACUGCUGGCCUUAUGGAGGCAAUGCUGGGUCCCAUGCCUGGCAAGGCCUACUUGUUUUGCCUCAGUGUAGCAGAAAAAUCUGAUAAUUUCAGUCAAGGGAAUCCCCCUUUAAGGUAUGAAAAUUAUACUAGUUUUAGAAUAAUGGGGUGGGAGGGCAGCAUCAUGGGAAGCACAGAGGAAGGAGGCUAUAAAGUCAAAGACAGAUGUUGGCAGAUCCGCCUAAAACAUGGUCAAGCAUGAGGAGGAACUGCCUGCACUGAAGGAUGCGGCUUCUCUGAUCUCCUUCCUCAACUCCCCAGGACAGGAGCGUAUAUUCAAGGCAGCAUCCUCCUGCCUUGUAUUGGCAUAUACUGGGAUACACCAGGAUCAGUGCCCCCCCCUCCUAUUGUUGGCUGUGACCUGCCCCCUCCAACUUUGCUUUUCAGGGGAAGUUUGCUCCUGCUCCUGCUUAUCCAGGGUCCCUGGUCCUUCCUAACACACUCUUUCUCUCCACUUCUGUGAUUUUAAUUGUCUUAGGACAGGCUUCACCCCUCUCCAUUCCCGUUGCAUUUCUCCCCCCUACCCUUCCCCUUUCCUCUGACUGGACAUGCACAGUUUUAUUUCUGGCAACAGUUAGUGAAAGAGAAGGUCAGAGGUGGGCGAAGGAACUAAACUAGUUAGAAGCCUAAGAUAGGUGUGUGUGUCUGUCCAAUUCCCAAGGCGCCUGGUGCCAGGCGCUGCAGGAGCUGGGGACGUAGAGCUUCCUCAGGUAGAUGCCACAUGAAACCACCUAUCUGUGCAGCAGCCAGCAGUUUGCGUCGGAGUGAGAGGGAGGACCAGAAAGCUGGCGGAUGCUGCAGGAGCCUGUGCCCUGGGUGUGUGCACCUGGCCCAUAGCUCAACCUGGCCUUGUCUCCUUCACUAUCUCAAAGCAGGACACAUGAAAGGGCUUCUGUCGGUGACCUUGACAUAGAAGGACUACUGAGCCACCCUGCUGUGACCUAGCUCCCCACUGAUUUCUCCUUUAUGACCCUUUGCUCCAUCUUGUCGAGCUCUCCUUCCUCCCCCGCCACCCUCUACUUGCCAUGCUUUUGCUGUCUGCUUCUGACUCAGCUUUGCAUGGUUCUCUGUAAGGUGGUACUGGGGCAUUGUUCCUUCUAAAUGAAUUGAUUUCUUCAGUUUUGCACUCCAUGGAUGUAUGCAAGUUGUCGAUGACAAAGGGCUUUCCAAAACCAAAGUUAGAAAACAAUGUAGAUGUGCAACUUGGUGGCCUGACCAAGGUUUCCUGUGGGUCUCUUCCUUUCAUUUCUUUGUAGCCCUUACUGCGAGGGUGGCUCGCCAUGGGAUGGGCACACAGCAGCUGAGUGUUCUCAGUACCCAAGUAACGCAGCUCCUUAUCCCCUUCUAGGCCUUGAGUACCUUGUAACCAAAUUCUGUGAAACAACCUGGGGCUGAUCGCUGAGGGUAUUUGUCCCAGUUUUCGGUUCUAUGGGAUCAAGUCUCUUUUCAUUUAACCCUGUGGUUGUUGCGUCCUGAACUGACUUGGGGAGGGCAGAUUAUCAAGUAGGGUGUCACCCAAAGUCAUGUUAAUUUCAGUGUCCUUCAGAAUACUGCUAUCGAUGUCAACAGUCACAGCAUUAUCUUCUAGGUCUGGACAGCACUAGGGCAUGAGACAUGUUGAGCCUUGUGCAACCUUCCUCCUUCCUUCCUCAUCACCCUCCUAUAGCUGAUUCCUCCCAGGUAACACAGAGAUUGUAAAGGCAGGUACAUGUUUUUCUUCAAGGGCCUGGAGAGAAGGGGCUGGUCCAUCCCUAACAGUUUGUGAUCCAGCUCAUGACUGUGGCCUUGAUGCUCUGGGCAUCAUCCCUUGACAAAAGCCUCUCUUUGCUUCAAAUGACAAGGCAAAUAUCAGCUAUUGCAAAAAGUGUGUUUCAGGGCUGGUAUUUAAACAAGGUUUCACAGUUGGCAGAUGGCUUUUCCCACAACCCAAUUGAUGUUUCAGUAUAUUGAAUGUUGCUGUGAGCCUCAUUUAGUAACCUGUGUUUUGCUUAUGACACAGUUUCCUGAAGGCUAUAUCCAGUCAUGGACAUGGUCCCCAUGGCCAGGAGAAUUAUUUCUUUGGAGCCAUACCAAUGGGUGUUCCCACAAGGUGACCUAUUGCCAUUCCGCACAGGGGAUGUGGGGGAGACCAUUAGCAUUUGUGUAAUAAUAACUUGGCAGGUUUGGGACAAGUGAUGGGGACGAUGAUACAUUGUAGUGGUGGUGAACUGGUGCAUGCCUGAAAGGUUGUUUCUAAGUAUAGAGGCUAACUUGUAAGCAUGACAUAAAGGAUGCCUAGGUUCCACGAUGCCAACAGUAAAGCCAUUAUAGGAAUUCCAUUUCUAGGGCUAAACAGAGCAGAAAGCCACAGACUGGGGUUCCCCAAUAUGUGCACAUCUGAGUUUUAUAGCCAAAGUCACAAGCUCUAACUUGCCUGUUGCAUCAACUAUGAUGGUUUCUAGUUUUAUAUCCCGGUGGUCAUGUGUCUUUCCUGCAGAAAGUGAACUGGUGGUACAGCCUGCUGGAGAAUUAGUCCUGCCUUCUCCUCCUUUAUACAGCCCAGCUCCUUAAGGCACUUCUCUGGGUCUCCUCCUGCCACAUAUGCCAUUAUCAUAUAAGCUGUUAAUGGUGUAUCAAUCAUGUGAAAAAGUUUGAUGAUGUUCCAAUGAUUUAAUGAGCUCUACCUCAGAGGUGAUGUCAUUCAGGUCAUUGUUGCUCUUCUCCAGGACCUGGACAAUUACUGGUUUAUGUGUGGGAAUACAGCAUGCCAGUUUGACCUCCCUGAAGGCACCACAGCUCAGAGACAGAUUCUGGGAUCAUUUUAAAGGUUACCCUUUUCACUGGGUUUGCCCUGAGACUUGCCUCCAUCUCUCUCCACCACUUUACUGUUGGGAAACAGUAGCAACACAUGAUGCUAGGAAGAAAUAUAAAGCAGUUUAGAAGUUUAUAGCUAUGAAUUCUAGAUAAACUCUGAGAGACCCCAAACAACCUAAUGAUGUACCUUAAGGCCACAGAAAAAUAAGAACAACCCAAACCCCACAGCAGUAGAUAAAAAGCAUAGUAAAGGUCAAAGACGGAAUUAAUUAAACUUGACAUUUAAAAGACAAUACAUUGAUGGAAAAAACGAAAAAGAUGUUUAUUUUGUGGACAAACAAAACUGGCAAACACUUACGCUAACCAUAACCAAGAGAUAAGACAAUUAAAUUAGAGACAAAAGGUGGUGUUCCAACAGAUACAACCAAGGCAAACAUCAGCUACAGAAAAAGGUGUUUUCCUGCCGAAUGGCUGAGAAGCACCUAAAGAAAAGGCCAACAUCCUUAGUCAUCAGGGAAAUGCAAAUCAAAACAACCCUGAGAUUCCACCUCACACCAGUCACAAUGGCAAAGAUAAAACAAUUCAGGUGACAGCAGAUGCUGUCAAGGAUGCGGAGGAAGAGGAACACUCCUCCAUUGUUGGUGGGAUUGCAGACUGGUACAACCACUCUGGAAAUCAGUCUGGAGGAUCCUCAGAAAAUUGGACAUAGUACUAUCGGAGGACCUAGCUAUAUGACUCCUGGGCAUACACCCAAAAGAUGCUCCAACAUAUAACAAGGACACAUGCUCCACUAUCUUCAGAGCAACCUUAUUUAUAAUAGCCAGAAGCUGGAAGGUACCCAGAUGUCCAUCAACAGUGGAAUGGAUACAGAAAUUGUGGUACAUCAACACAAUGGAGUACUACUCAGCUAUUAAAAACAAUGGCUUCAUGAAAUUCAUAGGCAAAUGGAUGGAACUAGAUAAUAUCAUCCUGAGUGAGGUAACCCAGUCACAAAAAAACACACAUGGUAUGCAGUCAUUGAUAAGUAGAUAUUAGCCCAAAAGCUCAGAUUACCCAAGAUACAAUCCACAGACUACACGAAACUAAAGAAGAAUGACCAAAGUGUGGAUGCUUCAGUCCUUCUUAAAAGGGGGAACAAAAACAUUCAUAGGAGGAGAUAUGGAGACAAAGUUUGGAGCAGAGACUGAAGGAGUGGCCAUUCAGAGGCUGCCCUACCUGGGGAUCAAGCCCAAAUACAUACAGCAACCAAACCCAGACAAUAUUGCUGAUGCCAACAAGCGCAUGCUGGCAGGAGCCUGAUAUAGCUGUCUCCUGAGAGGCUCUGCCAGAUCAUGACAAAUACAGAGGUGAAUGCUCGCAGCCAACCAUUGAACUGAGAACUAGGUCCCGAUUGGAGAAGUUAGAGAAAGGAUUGAAGGAGCUGAAGGGGUUUGCAACCCCAUAAGAACAACAAUACCAACCAACCAGAGCUCCCAGGGGCUAAACCACUACCCAAAGAGUACACAUGGACAGACCCAUGGCUCCAGCUGCAUAUGUAGCAGAGAGUGGCCUUGUGAGGCACCAAUGGGAGGAGAAGCCCUUGGUCCUGCCAAGGUUGGACCCUCCAGUGUAGGGGAAUAGCAGGGCCGGGAAUCGGGAAGGGUGGGUGGUUGAGUGGGGGAACACCUUCAUAGAGGAAGGAGAGGGAAGAGGAUAGGGGGUUGAUGGAUGGGAAACAGGAAAAGGGUAUAACAUCUGAAAUAUAACUAAAAUAUAUCCAAUAAAAAUUUUUAAAAAAGAAAAAGGUGGUUUUCACAGCUGAUUCCAGAUAAUCAUUAAAUUUUUGGAUGAAUGAUUCUAGAGAAUUAAUAUUUUGAAAUUUUAUACUCUUAAAUUAGAAAACAUGAAAUUACUAGACUUAUGUGAGUAUUGAAAUAAUAUGAAAUGAAAACACUUCAACUGGUCAAUAAUAAGCAACAAUAUUGUACUAGUAAUAAAAAUAGCUCACAACAGAAAAAGAACCCAGGAAUCCUGAAUUUACUGAAGCUAGCAGACCUUACAGAGCAAACACCACCAGUAAUUCUGAAGAAUACCUUCAAACCAGUCACAAAGCUAGUAUUACCCUACUCCCAAAGCCAAAUAGGGACAAAGUAGUGCAAUUUCCCUAAUGAGUAUAGAUAUGACUAUCAUUCUGAGAGCGCUUGAUUCCCAACAUCCAGUUUAACAAUACAUUUAAACCUUUCUUCCGCAUUAAGAUGCCUCCAUCCAGGAAUACAAGGAUAAGUUCACAUACCCAGACUGAGCAGCAGCAUAACAGGCUAGGUGGCAGAGGUGGGGGGCUCCCUUGCUCAGACACAAUGAAUGAUGAACUGUUUCCAUUUUCAGGAAAGUAGAUGGAUCUAGAGAUAAUUUUACAUGAUACAGGCCAGUGCCACCAAUGUGUAAUAUUUGUUUUGUCCCCUAUGGACCGUGAGCAGGGAGAGAGCUAUAGUUUAGUAAAAGGGAGAGUAUCAGUCACACAAAUGUGGGUGGAGGAAGUGAACUCGAUCAGGAGGCAUGGUCACAGUGUCCUAUAGUCAGGUGGAUGAAUAUAUUAUGUAUCUAUAAAUACAGAUCAACAAACUGUAUGAACUGAGGACAUGGCCACUCCAAGGUAUGGUUGAGGGGAAGGUUUUUAUUGUAGAUGUGGGGGAGAAUUCAGUCAGAGGCAUUUGGAAGAGUCCACAGGGGGAGAAAGUAGUAGACUGAACAUGGCCAGUAGACUGGACUUGGCCAUGGGUGAAGCACUGGGAGAAGAGCAGAAGAUAAAGAGAAUGCGGGUGAAGGAUAGAGAGAGAAGACUAAGAGGAGAAAAGGGGAGAGAGCAUAGCUAGAAAAGCAGGGUUUUAAGUCCAUCGGUGGGUUGCAGGCUAUGCAACCUUUAUUGGCCUCCUGGAAGGAGACCCCAAAAUACCACUUCUCAACUCCUGGACUUCCAAGGUGGAGCUGCCAAGAGCCAGAUCCUUUUUACAGUAGGGGAAUAUGGUAGGGAAAUUUCACUGGGGCCUCCAGAAAUGUUGUGGAGACUUCUGGGAAACGGAAUCACUGAGCCAUUUUCAGUUAGGUAGAUGAAAGUAUGCCAGUGGACCAUGGCCCAGAUCUAUAACUUUAAUUUUUUUCAAAUUCUAUUUUUUUUCUUUUUUCUUUUUUUUUUUUUUUUUUUCGGAGCUGGGGACCAAACCCAGGGCCUUGCGCUUGCUAGGCAAGCGCUCUACCACUGAGCUAAAUCCCCAGCCCCUCAAAUUCUAUUUUUAAUGAUGGUUCUUAAAAACUUUAACCAUCUUGUAGCCCACCUCCCACCAGACGUACUGGGAAAGAAAGGAUAUGGGGGAGGUGAACAUGUUUGGAAAUAGUUUUUUCAUAGCAGCUCCCAUCUGUCUCGUCUGGAAAUCAGCAGUUCGGUUCACAGGUCAGCAGGCAGUGGCAGCUCCAUGCACUUGCAAACACCUCAUGGACACACCAGCAGUUCAGGUUAGCAACAGUGGUGACAUGACCUAGUAGAGCAUCCAGGACUUAACCUCUGCUAGAGUCAGCAGGAAGGACCAACAGGAACACUAGGAGUUCUCAGCUGUGCCUCUCUCGGGGAAGCAAAGACAGACGUGUUGCACAGCUAGCUGUACCAGCAAGCCAGGCUCUGUUUCCGUCUCUCCGUGGAGUCCUAUUUAUACCAGCCAAACAUCACGUGUCCUCUAUGUGCCUUUGCUCGGCACAGCUCUUGCCUCAGCACGUGCAUCCAAUCAGCCCAAGUCCACAGACGCAACAACAAAUUGCGGUAUAUCACCAGAAUUUAUUUUGGUGCAUUUCUCUCUAUGGUGUCAUGACAAAUGCAGCUCAACUAUGUAACGUAAGGCAGACCAAUACAUACAUGUCAUUAGGAAAGAAUCCUUUAUCAUAUGUCCUUUCACAUGCUUGCUUCAGCAGAACAUCCUCUCUCCUGUGUCUACUUCAGGGAAACGUUCCUUCACAUGCUUGCCCUGGCAAAACACCACCCAACUGACUUUCCAAAGAACCCUUAAGUUUCCACUUCACAAAUCACACUAUAAUGGUGUCAACCUUUUUCAUCAGCCUUUAAUUAUGAUGGGGACCAGAAGUGAGCAAGAAAAUUGGAUCAAUUUUGGUUUUUUGUAAUAGUCACUGUUACAAAGAGAAGUUUCCUUGAUGAAGAAUAAGAAUUCCGUGUAUCUGUGAGUACGAGGAUAUUGUGAGUGUAGUUAGGGAUGGUGCUUGUAAAGUGGUGGUUGUAGGCUCUACUCCAAGUUUCAUGACGUCACUAGCCCUGUAUGUCGGCAAAGUUUAUAGUACCAGCCGCGAUUUCUGUCUUGUUGAGUAAGUCUUAACUCUAUUUAGAGAGGUAUUGGUUACUACCAAGGUAUGAAUGGCAAUCCUGCAUCCUUAAGGUUAUGGUCCCAUGCUGGUUGUUGUUGUUGUAAUUCACAGGCUUUGGAGCUGGGUAUUAGUAUGAUUCUAACCUUAUAGAAGUGUGGGAGUCGGGGUUGGGGAUUUAGCUCAGUGGUAGAGCACUUGCCUAGCAAGCACAAGGCCCUGGGUUCGGUCCCAGCUCCGAAAAAAAAAAAAGUGUGGGAGUGCUCCUAUUUUUUAUCCUUCUUUCUUUUUUCAUUUUUUUUAAUUAUCAAGAAGGGCUGCCUACAGAUCUUUGAAAGUCUGGUAGAAUUCUGCUGUGAAUUCAUCUGUCUCUGUAAUGUUUUUAUUUUGAAGGCUUUGUAUUACUACUUCUCCUUUGUUGAGUGUUUGGACUGUUGACUUCUGUCUGGUUUCAUUUUGGUUGUUUGGCUGAAUAUAGAACUUCAUUCUUUGUUUUAAGUUUUCCAACCUAAUGGAAAAUAGGUUUUUAAAAGUAUUCUGAAUUUCUUUGGUGUCUGUUGUAAUGUUUUUCUGUUCGUUGCUGAUUCUGUUAAUUUGAUUUCCCUCCUUUGGUGAGUUGGGAAAGGGUCUACGAUCUUACCUGAUUAAAGAACCAGCUCUUACAGGGGCUAGCCCGGAAACUGUUGCCUGUCCGUGGGAUAUGUCCUCCUAGUUGGGCUGCCUUAACUGGCCUCAGUGGGAGAGGAUAUGCCUAGCCCCACAGAGACUUGACACCCAAGGGGUCUCCCACCUGCUGAGAGAAGGAAGAUGGAGGGAAGAAUUGUGGGAGGGGGUAACUAGGAGGGAGGCAGUGAGUGGAUGUAAAGUGAUGUAAAGUGAAUAAUAAAAAAGGAACCAGCUCUUAGAUUUAUUUAUUCUUAGUAUUGUGUUCUCUAUUUCACUCAUGUCUGCUCUGAUUUUUAUUUCUUGAUUGAUGUUCAGUGGGUUUAGAUUUGAUUUGCUGCUGUUUUUCCAAAUUUUUGACUUGUAUGAGUCCUUUAUUUGUGCUAUUUUUUUAUUUUAAUGUAAGCAUGUAGAGCAAUAAAUCUCUCUCAUGACUCCUUUUAAUGUGACCAUAUGUUCUGUGGUCAUUUUCACUUUAUUAUAGGAAAUGUUUUUUCUUUCUUGAUUUCUUUAUUGUCCCACUGAAUGAGAAUUUUCACUCAGCAGUGGUUGUUUAAUGUGUAUUUACUAGAGAUUUGUUUGCUGCCAAUUUUGAGGUUUUUCGCAUCAUAUUUAAAUAGGCUACAGAGGGUUAUUUCAGCCUUUUUGAAUUUUUAAAGAAUUGUCUUGGUCUAUUUUAGAGAAUUUUCUGUGUACAGUUGAGUAGAAUGUGUAUUCUUCGGUGUUUGGAACAGUCUGUAGAACCCUGUUAAACCCAUUAGAUGUAUAAUGUCUGUUAAUUUUGUUGUUCCUCUGUAACUUUUUGUCAAGAUGACCUGUCUAUUGGAGAAAGUAUUGAAAUCACCUAUUAAUUAGUUUGUGUUAAUUUGUCUUUAAAUUCAGUAAUACAUUUUUUAUGAAAUGGAGGGCACCAUAUAUGUUUAAGGUAGUAAUGUCUUCUUGGUUAACUGUUUCCUUGUUAGAAUGUAGUUUCCCUUUUUAUCUCUUCUGAUUAGUUUUAGUUUGAAAUCUAUUUUGUCAGAUAACAGGAUAAAGAUGCCUGUUUGCUUUCUGAUCCUAUUUUGUUGAAGUAGUUAUGUCUAUCCUUCUACUCUGAUACUGCUUAUCUUUAAAGCUAAGAUGUGUUUCUUAUAGACAACUGAUAGAUGAAGUUUGUUUCUAGAUACAGUCUGUCAGCCUGUAUCCUUUGAUUGAAAGACUGAGACCACUAAUAUUAAAUGUUAUAAUGAAAUGUGUGUAAUUGAGGUCACAGAGUUUUGGUAUUAUGUUCUCAGUAAUACUUUUUUAAUAAUUACAGUAUCUUAUAUAUUUCCAGUCUUCUGACCAUAUCCAUUGAUCUUUCAGCCCAAAGAAUUGGUUCCUAUAUUUUAAGUUUGGUUUGUUAAUUGCUUUAAAGAUAGGCUUAUAGUAUGGAAAUUUUUCUUUCUUCUUCAAUUACAGUGGAUAGUUUUGCUGGGUAUAUUAGUCUAGUUUGACUCUUGUGUUCCUUUAGGAUUUGUAAUACAUUACUCCAGGUUCUUCUGGCUUUCAAAGUUUCCAUUGAUAAGUCAGCUGUUACUCUGAUGAGUUUUUCUGCAUAGUUAGUGGCUUAACUAUGAUAUGUGGUAGAGAAUUUUCUCAACAUCUCUGUUUGGUGUUCUGUAUUCAUUGUGUAUCUGUAUGAGUAUUACUUUCCUUAGUUUUGGGAGGUUUUCUUCCAUAAUUAUGUUGAAGAUCAAGUCUUUGUCAUUGACUUGGGAUUCUCCUCCCUCAUCUAUGCCUAUAAUUCAAAAGUUUUGACUUUCUAUGAUAACUUACAUUUACUUGCUUUCCCUUUGUUUUUUUUUUCCUUUCCUGUGUGUCUUACUUAGGGUUCCCAUGGCCGUGAAGAGACACAAUGACCAAAGCAACUCUUAACACUGGCAAACAUUUAUUUUGUGCUGGAUUACAGUUUGAAAGGUUUAGUCCAUAAAGCAUGGCAGCAUGCAAGCAGAUAUGGUGCUGAAAAAAGAGCUGACAGUUCUGCAUCUUGAUUCAAAGACAACUGGGAGAGACUGUCUCACAGGCGGCUAGGAGAAGGGUCCCAGCCACACAAUGACACAUUUCCUCAGGCAAAGUCACACCUACACCAACAGGGUCACACCUCCUCCUAAUAGUGCCACUCUCUGGGCCAAGCAUAUUAAAAUCCCCACAGUGUGUGUGUGUGUGUGUGUGUGUGUGUGUGUGUGUGAUUUUUUUUAUAUUUCUGAUUAUUUAGCCUAUAUACUCUCUCCAAAAUUCUAGCUUCUGUUUGAUUUGCUCUACUUGUAAAGCUUUCCUUUGAGUUUUCUAGUACAGUUAUUCGGGUUUUCGAUUCCAUCAUUCAUAUAAUCUUGAGUCCUCUUCAAUGUUUCUUUUUCUGAAUUUUACUUUCAAGUUCUGCAUUGUUUUUGUCAUUUCCAUCACCAUCUGCUUGUUUUCUUAGGGAUAACUCAAGUCUUUAUUCUCAAGUUCUUUAUUCUUAAUUUCAUUUAGCUGUUUGUAUCUUCUUUAAAGUCCUGGAAUUUUUCAGUGUCUAUGAUCUUUUAAAGUCUCUGCCCUGGGUUCGUCUGUGUAAUUCUCAUUGGCAAAUAUUUCUACAUCAUAGAUAGGUUUUGGAGAGGAGAUACUGGCUUGAUCUUUCAUAUUGGUAAUUUUUUUAUGAGAUGUGACCUUGUAGACUUCUUUUGUUAGUUCUGAGUUCAAUAUGGACAAAGCGGGAUGGGGCAGGUGAGAGGAUGUACAAGUAGGUUUGGCUUAGAGGUUGCAAAUGGCUCAUGUGGAGCAAAGUCAGAUUGACAUAGGAGGCUGGGUUGGUAUACAGGAUAUGAGUACCUCAUAUGAGGAUGAGGAUAGAUUUGGCUAAGUGGGAAAGUGUACAUGUGCCAUGAGAGGGGCUUGUAGAUCAUGGCAGGCAGAUCUGUUAGAGGAAUCUUAGAGAUUGGUUGUGGUGCAGACAACAAUAGCCAGACUAUUCACGCCUGGGCACUGGUUAUAGAAUGUGGGGUAGAUCUGAUAGGUUGAAGAGGGUACUUGAAGAGAAAGGGUCAUGCAAACUUAAUAGGCCAAGCCUAGAAAAGGAUGGUCAAUCUUCAUUUCCCAUCUCCAUUCUAGGUACCUUUUCCUUAGCUUGCCUCUAUUGCCACUCUCCAAAUAAAGCCUAGAAAGCUCACCCUCAUGGACUCCUCCUUAUUUCCUAAUGCUCAGCUUUCCCUUGGGUUUGCAUCACACCCUGAAAGUUAGGAAAUGGAGUUACAUCUUCUCUUUCAGACUGCUUCUGCCAUGGAGAGUGCCAGGCCCUUCAGAGGAGGUGGGUUUUCAACCAAGUUGACAUCAAAGUUCAGGGCAGAAGCAAAUGAGUGGAGAUCCUGACCUGCCUCCAAGAGCCAUGAACACCCAGAGACCAGGCAGGAGCUUGAAGCCUGCAAUACAGAGCACAGGUGUUAUAGUUCCCUCUGCUUUCCACCCCACUUCAGUUUGGGUGCUUUGCUCCUGAAACAGAAGAAUGCAGUGGGACAUGAUAGAAGAUCAGGCAACCAGAAAUUACUGAGAACUAGCAAAGAACAUGUCCCUGCCAUCCCUGCCCUGUGCCUUUCUCAGCAUGGGCACACAUAGGACAGGAACAUGCUUCUCCUGAAAGCCUGUUUUAUCAUGCACUCAGUUUAGGUGGAUAGAUAAGAAGAUGCAAGAAUAUGCAUGGGGUCUAAGCAACCCCAAAGCCGAAUAGUUUAUAAGAGCAAAGGCAGCAGCAUUCUUCACAUACUCCCCUGACCAGGAAGCCCAUAAAACCACUUUGUGUCUUGAAUAAUAGUCAACCGUCACCACCAUCUCCUGAUCCUGUUUCAGGGUCAUGAGCAGGCACAGAUACUACUGCAUUUGAUGCCCUAUAUUAGACUCUUCUUUGCCAGUUCAUUGAGGAGCUAGGCUCCUGCCUGAUGCAAAGUCUGUGAACUACGCUGCCUAAGGAAAGGGUCUCGGAAGCUGCUGUAUUGUUAGUGCCAUUCAGACUCCAUCUGUGCUCUCUAAGCACGAAGGGUCCAUGCAUAGUAUGAAGCAUGAGCAAGCAUAUGGCAUCACACUGUAAUAGUGCCAACUGUCCCAUCACUGAGCUUUGUGUUGGUGGGCAGGCCUGGGGAAGGAACCAUGAACAAGCAGGAAUAAACAUUCUCAAAACAGCAUUUGAGGUGAAGUACAAACAGGUGUCAUCACUGAAGGAGUUUCAAGGUCACAUCAAUUAUGCUGUGAGACCUGCCGAGGAAUAAGAACACCAUGAAGGCCGGAAGAGACACAACUGACAUUUUUGCACUUGUUUUCAUUUAAUGCUUCCUGGCAUGUCAUAAAUGCACUCUGCUCCUAUGUCUAGUGAAUUUUUGAAUGUAAAGUUUAGUAGAAGUGGCUGUUCAUGCUCAAACAGCUCUCUAUGAGCCUUGUGCCUCUGAGGUGGCACCAUGAACCUCAGUGGAUGGUGGCUGACAUCCGUAAAGCAAGUAGGACACCCUCUGGGGGUAAAAUCUUCAAUUGAUGGCAAUGUAAAGUAUCUUUUCCAUAGUUUUGGGUUUCUUUUUCUUUUUUUCAGAGCCGGGGACCGAACCCAGAGCCUUGCGUUUGCUAGGCAAGUGCUCUACCACUGAGCUAAAUCCCCAACCCCCAUAGUUUUGUUUUUUGAAACAGGGUCUCACAGACCUAGAACUGGCUUCACGGAGCAGACUGGCUUUGAGCUCAGAGGUCUACCUACUGUGUCUUCUCCAGAGCUCAUGGGUCAGAGGCAUGCACCUACACAUCAGAUUCCCUUCCACUAUCUUGUUUCAAAUUUUCUCUAUGGACUGAGUACACUAUCCAGCAUUUCCAUCCAUUAUUUCAAUCUUUUAAGCAUGAGCAUCCUGCCUGAAAAGUGAGCAUUUUCGGGAAUAUAAUGGCCAACUUCACUGAGUAUGCUCAGAGUGCAAUGUGUUAUUCUCUGAGGAUGGUCAAGAAUGUAGUGUAUUUCUUCACCAAGCAUGUUCGGGAAUAGACAUACCCAUCUAUGAUUAUGUUGAAGCUCCCUGAAUAAAAUAUCCUUUUUUUUCUGUGUUCAAAAAGAAGUUGCCUUCCAAAUGAUGCCCAUGCUCUCCCUGCCUUCUACAAGUAUUGAAUCUUCACUCCUCUGCUUAUCUUGACUGUCCACAUGACAGCCCUUGAUGUUCAAUUACAGUGUCUUCUAACCCUACAGGCCUGAACAAUGACGUGCUGUAUGUUUGAUCGGCAACCGAUUUUAGAUGCACGGCUUAACCUCUUUUGGAGCAGAGAAAGCCCUUCAUGCUGAAUGAGGGAGAGGUCAUUCACCUGGAGAAGGAAGGUGGAAGAGUGUCUUGAAUAAGUGGGGACCAAUAUGCUUCGGACCAAGGGCUUGAGCCUUGACAGAGAACAUCGCCUUCAGUUUGGCUGGAGUUGAGGGCCUCACAAGGCAGGUACAAUGCUUGUCUCCAUCCUUUUUUAUCAGCCCAGGGUAGGCUGCAGCAGAGCCCACUCAAAGAGAGCCCUUCAUGCCUCAACAUACCUCCUCCUAGACCUUCUGCCCUCUGGUACCCCACCUCACUCACACUUCUCCCAGAGAGAAACAUAAACUGAGAGCACAUGGAAACACAAAGUCAAAGAAAGAAAGAAAGAAAGAAAGAAAGGAAGGAAGGAAGGAAGGAAGGAAGGAAGGAAGGAAGGAAGGAAGAGCGAGCUCCUGAGAAUUCUAAGCUUGACCUCCGAGCUCCAUGAUCCCAGCCUGGAAAGCCAAAGCAUACCGUAUCUGGGCCUGAAGGCCAUAGAGUUACAAGGAUCCCUGAGCAAACUGUAUCUCAGAGUAAUUACUUAGCAUCUUGUAGAAGGUUGAUCCUCUGUGAGGUAGGCAUCUGUGGGUCCCACAGUGAGGAUGUCUGUAGGCAUAUAUUUUUCACAACCUACUUUAAUGAGGGUUCAACCUCCCCCCUAGCCCAACAUUCACCAGAGAUUGUGGAAAAGAAAGAUUAUUGGGAUACAAGGGAAGUAGACCUAUUUAGAAAUAGUUCUUUGGGGGCUACUCCAAUCUUCAGUGUUCUCCAUCCCGCCCACUAGAAAACAAUGUAUAAGAUUCAGCAAGGGCAGUUUGAUCCAGAAGAAUCUGCGAGGUUCCUCAAUUGGCCCGAGUCCAUGGAAGCCGCAGAAAGCCUCAGGAAUCUCACUAGAAGUUCUUUGGUGAGUUUCUCUCUGUGACGAAGUCACCACAGAUGAAGCUCAGCAAUGUGAGGCAGAACAAUACAUGCGUGUCCCCAGCAAAGACCAGUAAGGCACAGCAAAGUGGACCAGUGUCCGAGCACCCGCUGUCUGUGGGGUGGUAUUUAUAAUCUUUCUAAACAUCGUGCAUCCUUUCACAGGUCUGCUAUAGCAAAACACCCUUUCACCUGUGUCUGCUUCAGCAAAUCAUUCUUUCACCUGUUUGCCUCAGAAACUACUAUAACCGAAGUCUCCAAAGAAACCAGACAUUUCCACUUCAGAUGUGUGUCAAGAGCAUGGUACACAGUAGUUCCUGGUAACUGUGCAAGAGUUCAAGCAGAUGUACUAGUCAGGGUUCUCUAGAGUAACAAAACUGAUGGGAUGAAAUUAUAAUUAGUGACUUACAGACUGUGGUCCAGCUAGUCCAGCAGUGGCUGUGUUCUGACAGAAAGGCCAAGAAUAUGGUAAUCCACAAGGGUGGAUGUCUCAGUUUGUCUUCAGUCUAAACUGGAAUCCCCAAGAAGUAGGGAUGCCUCCACAGCAGAAUAAAUGAACUUGGCAGUAGGAGUGAGGGCAAGCGGGCACAAAGCAAAGGCCUCCUUGACCUUUUACCUGGGUUGCAACCAGAAGGUGUGGCCCAGAUUUAAGAUGGUCUUCUUACCUCAGAUGAUCCAGAUUUAGGGCAGUGCUUUCUAUCUCAAAGAAUCUGGUCAAGAAAACCCUUCACACGUAUGCCUUGGGUUUUAAUUGCCCAGAUGUUGUCAGGUUAGCUACCAGAAUGGGCACACUUUGGGGUAAACAAACUGACUUCAUUAGCCUGCUACCUGCUUUUAUUCUCCUUUCUUGGUAAGAGACCAAAUUAACCGACAAUGUCUCUUGAGCAACAGGGAUGUGCCCAUGCCACUUGGUGAGCAGCUCAAUACAUUUCAGAGACUCGGGCUUUCUUAGACAGCAACACCCAGUUAGAUCCCAUGAUUCAUUUGUUGCCUUCUCCCUACUAAGACUUUCUCCCACAAACAAAAUGAUCUCUUCCUAGCUGCUGGCUUUACAGACAAAAGGACUGUCUCCCUGGUUACCUGCUGGCCCAGACCUACUCUGACACCGCAAGUUGCUUGGUGUCCCGGGCCCAGUUCCCAUGGAGCUUACCUGACAGUCAUGGCUCUGAAGUGUACUGUGACUGACUGACAGCACAAACUUUAGGCCAUGCUUGUGUGCCAGGCUGGGAAGAGGAGGCUGAGGAGAUAAAGACAAAAAACAGAUUGGCACAAUGGUGGGUCAGGCAGGAGGGAGAGAGAGGAUGGGAAGGCUUCAUAGGACAGGGAUCCCUUCUCCCAGCCUGGCAUACCCUGCUGCAGCUUGCUGCAGUAGCAGGCUUCCAAGGCAGCAGCAUCCUUUGUGUGUUGGCUCGUGUUAGGACACUCCAGGAUCAGGCCCUCUUCUCCUAGUGGCCUGCCAUGUCCUGCACCCUUUAGCUUUACUCUUUAGGGGGAAUUUGCACCUACCCCUGCUUCAGUUCAAUAAACUCACCUUUUGUCCUCACUUCUGUGAUUGGGACUUCCACUGGACACACUCUUCAAGCUUCAUGCCCUGUAUUCCUCCUCUCUUCCUCUACUCCCACUCUUUAUUCCCAUGUCCCACUUACCCUCUAUUCCAUUCUCCCCUCCCCUUCCUGUCCCUUCUACUUCUCCUGUGCAUAUACAGCUCCUGUAUUUCUCCCCAGCUGCUCAGUGAUGAUCGUAGUGACGGGGGACAAGCUGAUGGAGACUGCGCCCGUGGAGUGCUCAGUUCUCUCACUGUGCGUGUUCUGUCCUAAGUGUACUGGAGAUGCUUGGGUUGUGCCUUCAUAACAUGGAAGCCACGUGAACCACAUCUUUCCCAAGCGAAAAGUGCAGAGGGCACAAGUGCCUGAAGGGGAGGGGCCCGGUAGCAAUAGGAGAGGUAGAGGAACCAGUACCCUGAUUCCUGUUGAUAUCUUAUUGGAGAUAGGCAUUUGGGCACACAGCCUCCUGGAAUUCUAGCCUGGAUCCCUCUUCUGGCUUAGUCCACACCAGACCUAACCUAGCCCUGUGGUUUGAUGACAAUGGAGCCGGCUUAUACUUCAACUUCACCCCUUGAAAGCAAACAUACGGAAAGGACUGCUAGUGACUUUGACACAGACAGGACUCGAUACAGAGCCAGCCCUGCUAUAGCACAGCUUGCCACCUGAGGGUCCCCCCUCCCCCGCCUCUGCCUCCUUCCCUCCCUAUCCUCUGCUGACCACAUGUGCUUCAGCUUUUCUGGAAUCCACAUAAGCAGGGAAGCUUCUAAGGUGAACGGCAUCUUAAGGUUCAUGUCCUAUAAAUGGCGGUCAGUGGCAAAGAGCCUUUGAAGAGCAAUGAUAAAAUACACUCGUGAAUGUCAGUGGCUAUACCUACACUGUUUUUCCAUUUGGGGCCAUAUUCUUCAUUCCUUGCUGUUUAUUACCUGGGAAGUGUGCUGCUUUUCUUUGGGCUAGGAAGGCAACAACAUUAUCUGCUAAACAUGUGACUAUUCUUCCUCCUCAUGCCCUUCUAGCUCCUUUGUCUGGCGACCUUGGAGGUUAUGGGUACCACUUGACUCUGACCUUGCUGACAAUAGGACCUGGUGGUGGCUCCUUGGAGUAUAAGCCCCCAUCAAUUAUUUUCAUUUUCAGUUUCCUCCUGCUAGGAAGGGUCCAUAGUGGGGAUAUAUCAUCAGGUAAUAUUUGACUGGACAAUUUUAAUCUCUUGCGAAAGGACUAUGAUGCUGUUAGCACCCAUAGCAUCAUUCUGUGGGACUAGGUUACAAUGGCAGGUCAUAUCCUCCAGGUAACACAACAUAUCCAAGGUUAGAUUGCUAAAUGUUCUGUCAUUGUCCAUCUCCUGGAAACUGGUGUUCAUGUUCUAGGUAUUAUCCUAGAUAAUAACAAAAACAUUAUUAUCCUGUAGGGCUGGGCAAAGAAUUUUAAUGUGUCCUCAAGAUAGCACAGGAUGUCCAGGGAUGAAGUAGUGAAUGUGAUGUAACUCUCAGUCUACUGGCAAUGGGUGUCAAUGCUGUCAGGGUACACAGCAUCGUUCUGUGUAGUAAUGUUGCAAGGACAGUUGAUAUCCAGGAACCACUGUAGAUCACGUGAGCUGGACCUUGAGCAGCCCUUGCUCCUUCCUUUUUCAUCCACCUCCUGCAGUUGGUCCUUCCCAGAUGAGAUGAAAGUAGGCAAGACAGGGAGGAGAACCUGCAGGGCUCAUGUUUGAACUGGGCUUCACAAGCUUCCCUAUUUGUUUAAAAAUGUUCCGACUGCUUAAUUGAUAAUUUACUAUAUUGUAUACAACUAUGGUGUCAUUAAGACUUCUCUUUCCUACAGUUUACAUAAUUUCUUGUAGCAUGUACCUUAUAGCCCAUGCUACAGAUGGCAACCACAAUCAUGGACAUUGGAAUUGUGGAAAGUAUUUCUCUGAAAGCAAUUGGCAAACCACCAUCAUACCCACAGGUGCCCCACAAGCUGGCUGGUGGCCAUCCUCCAUGUGGGAUCUACAGUAAAAUAGGAGAUAAGGUUUGUCAGGACUGUGGAGUUUGGUGGGACCAGAUAUUCUGUAGAGAUGAUGACCAGAGGGUAUUGUGGUGCCGUGCUUAGUGGGCAUUCAGGGACCAUAAAGUCAAUCAGAUUACUGAGGGACCAGAUACUGGAGACUCCAUGGUAGUCUCUGCCCUCCACAACCUUUUGUGCUCAAUAACAAUGUGUACCAUAGAUCUGGACACUGGUAACUUUGGUGGCCACUCCAAAGUCACAUAGUUUGGUAUUUCCAGUCACAUCUAUUGGGAUGUUCUUGUCUUUUAUAUCCCAGUGGCUGGUGUUUCCUUUAUGAAGGUACUUACCUGUGGACACCACCUGCUGGAAAGUGGUGUGCGCCUUCUUUAUAAGCUCAAAAGCUGCUAUGACGCUGACCAAAUCUCCCUCCGCCACAGAUUCUUUGCACAAAUAAGAUAUUGCCGGCAUGUUAAAUGAAACAGUUUCAUAACAUUACAAUGUUAGACUUCUCUCAUGGGGUCCACCUCAGAAGGGAGAGCCAAGAGCUUGUUGACAGCCUUGUUCAGAAUCUUGGUAGUCACUCUGGUGUGGGUAGGGAUGUGUUAGAUGAGCUUCACCUCUAAAGAUGAGCCUAGGGAUGAUGUUGUUAAGAUAUUGGAGUUAUCCAAUUUUUAAGAAAACUUAUGAAAUGUAUUUGUCUGUAAAAUUUUAUAUAUUUUUACAGAAAGUCUAUUUCUUUGAACAUAAGAAGGAAGUCUUGGAUUUAGUUUUUCCAUACCCUUUUGAAAUUUGCAACUUCUCUAGUUAGAAAUGUAUUUCUUACAGCUUUUUAAAACUUUGUCAUGAUCAGUUGUAGUGUACAUGCAGAGCCAGUUGUAUGUGUGUGGACUGGUUGUAGUAGAACAAAUCCGAGUUAUAACUAUGCAGGGUUAAUUAUCCAAUCUGUUUCUGUAUUUAAGGAUCACAGGUAGAUGUAAGACAUUUGAUCCCCUGUUGACUUACUAAAUGGUAAAAUGCUUUGGAAAAGCAGACUAAUCUUUACCACGGUGCUAUUCACAGGGUUUACUUGUUUAACACAAGUUUAAGCCUGGUGUCAAUAAAACAAAUAUGUAUUUCUUUUCUACUAAAAAAAAAAGAUAUUGGAGUUAUCUCUGAGGAUAUCCUCAUCUGAGGGGCUGUCCCUGAGUCCCUUCACAGGUGGAGAAAUGGCACCAUGUAAUACUAGAAGUUAAAAAAAGAAAGCAGGUCCAGGAGGCAAGUGUAUGGCUUAUGGCUAUCAGUUCCUACAUUAUGAAAAUCCUAUGUAUCUCAAUAGCCUAGUGUAGGCAUAUAGUUUACAAGCUACUUUAAUAAGGGUUCAACCUUCCCUCUAGCCUGCCUCCCCACCAGAGGUAGUGGGAAAGAAAGGUUAUAGGACACAGGGGAAGUGAACCUGUUUAGAAAUAGUUCUUUGGGGCAAUUCCAAUUUUCAUUGUUCUCAGUCCAGUCCACAAGUAAAUACCACACAGGAAUCAGCAACUGCAGCCCAGUCCACUCGGCAGACAGCGCACAUAAAUCAGCAAGGGCAGUUGAAUCCAGAAGGAACCCCGAGGCUCACCAACCAGCCUGAGUCCAUGGACGCUGCAGGAAGCCAUAGGAACUGUACUAGAAGUGGUUUGGUGAGUUUCUCUCUAUGAAGUCACCACAGAUGAAGCUCAGCAAUGCAGUGUAAGGAGAACCAAUCCAUGUGCGUCAUCACGGAGACUACUGAGGGUAGAGCCAAGGGAACCAGUGCCCCAGCUCCCAUCUGUGGAGUCAAAUUUAUAGUCUUUCCAAACAUCAUGCAUCCCGUGUCCUUCCAUGUGUUUGAGAAAACACCCUUUCACUUGUGUCUGCUUCAGCAAAACUCUCUCACCUGUCUGCCCCUGCAAAGAAACCAGAAAUUUCCACUUUAUCCCAGUGAUGCUUUUAGAAUGGGAGAGAGAAAAAAAUAACCUGAAUUCUGAGUAUUAAAUAACAAAGCAUAAGAAAGAUCAGAGUAGGACAUUUGUGGACACUGAGAGGAUGAAACAAAGAUCAAAGAAAUAAAGAUCUGGGGCACUGAAGAGACAAACACACCUGACAAACCCUGGGCCUGAAUCACCCAGAGAGAGAAGACAUAAAAAAGAAUGAAAGUCGAAAAAAGGUGAUAUUUCAACAUAAACGACAUCCAGUGGGCCCUAGGGGACAGCUGACACACAUCCCGGAGGUUUGAAAAUCCUGAAAGAAAUGAGUGCUAGACCCACGGUCUCUAGGCCAACAUUGAUCUAAGACAUUAUCAAACAUGAACCGACGGCUGCCCUCCCAGUGCUACACCUAGGUUUGAUGCAAAACUCAGAACCUUACAAAAGUGGAAAGAGUGAUGUAAUCUCUCCCAACAUCAUAGCAAUAUCCAUUAUGAGAUGCCCUGGUAGUUCACACAAAGUUCAUGUUCAUGAUGGCUUCAUCUUAGAAUUCUAGGAUAAUUACUCACACAAAUUGUUCAACAACAGACAUGUAAUCAGAUUGGAGGCAGAGGCCCAUGCUCAGCCACAGAUGACAUUUUGUUAUUUUGACAUGGGGAUACACACGGACAUGGGGGUCUUUGUAACAUGCCGGCUCCAGAGAAAACAAACCUAACUAGUGCACAGACGGGUGGUAGGCGGGUAGGCGGGACUUUAAUAAAAGGAGGGGGGACAUUGUGGCACAUGCCAAGGGGCUGCCGCAAUGGAACAGGACAGAUGAAAAUGAUCCAAGUUCACAAUAUACAUGUACAGACGUGUCAUAGGGAAACCCUUUAGUUUUCACAGUUAAGACUUAAAGUAAGAAAAAAAUGAAGCCAAAGUAAAACAUGACAAGAAAUUAUUUUAAAAGAAUCAAUUAGGCCAACUAGGAAAAAUGAACACAGAAGCACAGAUUAAAGUUCAAAGUGAAAAAGGUGGAUGAAUUAAAAUGAAGGGAAAACCUACUAAAAACCCAAUAAAGGAGAGUGUCCCGCUAUCUCAGUCCACGUCUAUCCUAACCGAUACUGGAGUCCAGCUGUUCUCCAUCCAGCCACAGCUCUCUGCAGGACAAAAUCCAGCCUGGGGCAGUGCCUUCUGCUGACAGGUAUCUACCAGUCCUUACAGAGAUUGUGUGAUGUCACAGCACGAAAUCUUCCAAAAGCAGCAGGGCUGACCCAAAGUAGGUCUGUCCCCAAGGACUGCAUUAGUUACUUUUCUGGCCAUGACCAAAUCUCUGACAAGAAGCAACCCAAGGGAGAAAGGGGCUAAUAUGGCUCUUGCUUUCAGGAAAUUAGAGAGGCAUUGUCCUGGGAGGAGCUGCUUAGCCAGUCCCUCCGGCUAAGCCCUGCCUCCAAAGACAGUCCUCCUGCUAGGCACUCAGCAUUCAAACGCAUGAGAUGGUGUUCUCUGUGACUGUGUCCCAAUAUAGCAAUCACAAUCUUGGGGAGUUCAUCAGUGCCCAUUGCAAAAGAUCAUCCCAGUGGGGCUGGUUAAUGCACCCAUACACACGAAGAGGCUUUAGAGUCUCUCCCUGAGGUAUCCAGUGAUCCCCUACCACUUGGAAAUGAUGCAUGUGGUAUGAGGGGGGGUGAAGUAUACAGGGAAGAGGAGAGCAAGACAUCGUCUGGCGCUGGAUAAGGCUGUGCAGGUAUGGCUGGUUGGAGGAGGGCUUCCCACAACGUCGUAAGUCACCCCUUACAUAGGCUAUGUAAGGAAACUCAAUAAAUUCAUUGGUUCCCCAGAGAGUGCACUUCGGUGGAAUAUUGCUGAAGAUCACUGGGACUGUGAUGGGUGAGGUGAGGGUAGAUGCAGCUAUGUCUCCCCUGGGAAGGGAUUUUAGUCUGCAUAGUAAGCAGGAUAUAGCACUGAGGAUUCGUAUGGGAAGAAUGCUAGUGUUCCCAAUAGGGAGAAUGAAACACAUGUAUACAGGAAAGCAGAGGAUAUUUUGAUAUGGUGGUUUGUCCCUAUAAUGCUUGUGGGAUCAAUAACAAGGACACAGACAGCGAAGAGAGGAGACUAAGGUGAGGCUCCUGGGUAGGACAUGCAUUUAGGGAAAUCUCAGGACUGUAGUCUUCCAGCUGGUAGAGCAUGCCUGCUUGACGGGUUGGGCCCAUGCCCAAAGUAUAGAAAGGAUUUGAAAAUGUCUGAAGAUCUAUAGCAGACACUGCAAGCCCUGGGAGUAGCAUAACAGAGGUAGAGGUAUCAGUAAGCAGCUUCAGAGGAGCCCUGCCACUGCUGUGGGUAUCUACUUAGGCUGGAGUGACAGCCUGGAUGAGAGAGAGAGACCACAGGUUUGGGGGGGGGGUGGCUGCAGGAAGGAAAGGUUAGAAGGCCAAUGGAGGUUUCCUCAUUGCUCUCUGACUUAGUGGAUGGAAUACCCAGAGAAAUGAAGGUAGCUGCCUGCCAUUUUUUAUGGCUAGAGAAUGAAAUGAGGACAAGGACUCAGACAAGGAAUACAGAGACACUUCGGGGACCCUAAAACCUGGAACCCAUGGGAAGAUUUGAGGAACAGUGUGGAAAGUGGUGAUGUAGAAGUAACCGGUGUGGAUACGGGUCCACACCGGGGCCUGGGGCCCACAGAGGAUACCCAGGUCACAGGGCCCGAGAGGAUGGUGCUCACCAGAGACCUAAGGAGUAACUGGAUUUAGCAAGGACCUGAGAUGCCUGGACCCCCAGCAGCUCUGCUGAGCCUGUGGUGGGGCAGGAUCAUUGUGAAGUGGGAAAGGCUUUGGGGGAAUCUAGGUGAGGUAGACAAGCAUGUAGAAAGUGUCCACAAACUACAUGGACAGCCUAGUGAUAAGAAAAUGCAGGGCAGAGAAGAAGGGCUACCUGUCAUAUUGGAAAAGUAGCAAGAUUUGCGUUGAGCUCAAUUCCUAAGGAAAAGUUGGCAGAAAACCAAAUUCUGUGCUAAUGAACUUCUAGAAGGCUUAAAGCAGUUCACAAAGAUAAAACAAUACAGGUGUUGCCUGAUUUAGCUUCCAGAUUUAGAGAAGAAAAAACCUAGGACUGGGAUCCAAGCAUCCCAUCCCUGUGAGCUAGCUCCUGAAGUGCCAGGAUCAAGCCUGGACAAGGAGAGGCCACUGCACCUCCAGACUAAGCAAGGGAUCUUCUCCUCCAAAAACUUGUGCUAGGGGCUGGGAGAAUUUCCCCCCAGAAAGGGUCUCGCCCAGCAAACAGAUGUCAUAGAGAGGCCACAGCUGCGGCUCCAAGCCUGAGUCUCUCUGACUCAGGGAACCAUUCUGAGCAGUAGUGCAGCAAGUCAGAGCAGGAUCUCACCCUAUGCCCUUGAGCAGAGAUGAACAAGAUGAACAAGCUUAGAGGGGGACAGGCGGUGGAGGGAGGCUCCAUGGAAGACUUCCAGGGUAUGGAAGUGGAAUGGCUCAGAGAGAGCUAACAAAGUUAGUGCUGUCUGUCUGCCCAUGGUACUACUCUACCCAGCAUAUAGGAAACAACUGAUACUGGCCGAUGGACUCUUCUCAUGCUGUUAGACCUUGCCAUGUCUUAGUCCAGUACCGCCUCACUGUGACUUUCUGCAGUCACCUGACACUUUCAAAGCGCUUCACCAAGAUUAUCUCCCAGAUACCCUAUUUGGUGUAAGAGGAUAGAUAGCUCUGGACUUUAGGCCACUGACCUGCCCGUCCUCUACACAAAGGUUUUGUGCCAUGUGCAGAGUGUAACUAACUCUUGAGUGUUUUACAGAGUCGGAGGCUCACCUGAGACUUUUGACAUCUGAGUGCUCCUGACGAAGCCAGCACAGGAACUUACUUCACAAAGAGUGCAAGAGCCAAGGUUCUGUAAAAUUCAUGAGAGCAUUAUGGUUGGGUAAAGCACAAGUGAUGCCCACAAAUGUGUUUGGGGAAAGUCUGCAAUAGCCCAAACCUGUGAAACGUUAAAGUAUCCAAAAGAUAAAAACCGAUGCUCUUAGAAACUGGUUAGAAGGUGGUUAAUUGGGAAUGAACUAGAAGCUGGUUAGGUGAGCAUCCCAGUGCAAGGAGCAAGUUCUCUCCCUAGGAGUUGUUAGCCACAGAGGCCCUAGAGGCCCUCACAGCAAUAAAGGCCACAGUUGGUUUCAUUCCAGAACUGAAUAUGGCGGCCCUGUUGCUGAAUAGGUUGCAGGAUUUGGCCUCCAGACUUGGAGAAACAAAGCUAGGCCUGGGAUGCAAGCACCCCAUCCCUGUGGGCUAGCUCCCGAAGAGCCAGCCACAAGUGGCUACUAACAAUGCUGGGGAGAAUUAGGACUCAAGUUUCUUUGCAGUAGAUUCUGCACACAUCAUGUGCCAGCUGGUGCAGGAGUGAAUCAAGUGGUUAUGGAGAGAACCAACUUUCUGACUGACUGAGGCUUGCUUCACAGGGGGGAAAUCGAAUCCUGUAUUGGGAAUGUAGACAAAAACAGUGAAGAGGGAAGUCAUGGGCUCCAGUGGAAAAGCACCUGCUAUCCGCUGGCUUAAUGACAGAGCAGCUCAAGAGCUUCUCUACAUUGGUAUUCACCAUCACAGGUUACUACUGCAGUCUGUCUGCUGAGAUUUUUUUCCAUUUCCUGGUUUGUGUUCUUUUCCUCACUUGUGUUUUGUAGUAGGAGCCACCACCCAUACUACUCAACAACUGCCACAUUCUGGAAUGGAGGGAAGAGCAGAAAGUUGUGAGGCUGUGUUCCACUGCUGGAGUCGGAGGAACGGUCACACCUCUGUAUCACCCUAUCCACGGCUCAGGGACCAUUGCGGAAGAGGGGGCGGGGAGAAUGUAAGAGCUAGAGGAUGGGACGGACUGUGUCCUGGGUGACUGUCCUCACAGACGAGCAAAUGACGUCUGAUGAAAGUCGUCUGAGCCUGCAUGCAAAAGACCAUCCCAGUGCGGGCUGAUGAAGCCCCACCCAACAGAUGUUCACCUAAGUAUCCAGCUGCUCCCUACCACAUUGCAAGGCUGCGUGUGGCAUUAGGAAGGAGCUAAAGUAUGUAAGACCGGGAAAGAGGAGCAUAGGACCUCCAUCUAAGCAGCUGUAGGGAAGCCCAUGCUGGGUAAGGCUUUCAAGUGUGGCUGGCUGAGGGGAGCAACCCCCACACCCCUGACAGUCCCUUCAUACCUAAGCUGUGUAAGCAAGCUCAAUAAAGUCAUUGGUUCCCCAGAGUGAA